CGGCGGAGGAGGAGGCCGGGGCCGGGGCGCCGGGGCCGCGCUGCUCGGGCGCCAGCACCGUAUCAGGUCACAUUCUGAGCAUCCGAGUGGACGUGAACUCUGGCGGACGCUGUUCAACUCCCACCUGGGUGUAGAGCGUGGUGUAGAGAACUUGAUGGCAGGAGGGGAGCCUGACGGGGGGAGCGGAGAAAGAGGACGGUCAGGAUCGAAAGCACAAGGAGAGGACCGGGCUUGACCAAAGACGACAUUCCACUGGCAGGGUCAGCUGCAGACGAGAGCAGAAAGGUGAAGGAAGACACGACGAGGGUUAGAAGGCAGGUUGGGGGAUCCUUCAGCCGGUCGGUGAGCUGUCUGCUGAGACAUCAUGCGGGGAUACCCUUGGGCUGGACGGGUUAACAAGUAAAGCUGAGGCUGGAAACACC